AAGAAAGUUAGUAAGGGCGUAUGGGGGAUGCCUAGGCUCUCAAAGGCGAGGAAGGACGUGAUAAGCUGCGAUAAGCUGCGGGGAUUGGCACAUACGAAUUAAUCCGCAGAUUUCCGAAUGGGGCAACCCACUUGAGUGAAGCUCAAGUAUCCUGUAAAGGAGGCAAACCCGGGGAACUGAAACAUCUAAGUACCCGGAGGAAGAGAAAAUAAGAAUGAUUCCCUAAGUAGUGGCGAGCGAACGGGGAAGAGCCCAAACCAGUUUUGUUACGGCAAAGCUGGGGUUGUAGGACCACGUGAUGAGACUAAAAAAUGAAGCUAAACUACCUGGGAAGGUAGGCCAGAGAAGGUGAUAGCCCUGUCAGCGUAAGCUUUUUAGCUCUAGUGGUAUCCUGAGUAGGGCGGAACCAGAGAAAUUCCGUCUGAAUCUGCCGGUACCAUCCGGUAAGGCUAAAUACUUUUGAGAGACCGAUAGUGAACCAGUACCGUGAGGGAAAGGUGAAAAGAACCUUGCAUAAAGGAGUGCAAUAGAACCUGAAACCAUACGCUUACAAGCGGUCGGAGGUCCUAAGUGGAUUGACGGCGUGCCUUUUGCAUAAUGAGCCUACGAGUUACGCCUCUCUGGCAAGGUUAAGAGUUUUAAAGCUCGGAGCCGCAGCGAAAGCGAGUCUGAACAGGGCGCAUAGUCAGAGGGGGUAGACGCGAAACUUUGUGAUCUACCCUUGACCAGGUUGAAGUGUGGGUAACACCACAUGGAGGACCGAACCAGUUUCCGUUGAAAAGGAUUUGGAUGAGUUGAGGGUAGGGGUGAAAGGCCAAUCAAACUGAGAAAUAGCUCGUACUCCCCGAAAUGUUUUUAGGAACAGCGUCGUGGUGGAGUUUUAUAGAGGUAGAGCUACCGAUAGGACUAGGGGGAGUCACAUCCUACCGAAUCCUGACGAACUCCGAAUGCUAUAAAAUAUACACGGCAGUGAGGCUCUGGGUGCUAAGGUCCAGGGCCGAGAGGGAAAGAACCCAGACCAUCAGCUAAGGUCCCUAAAUAUAUGCUAAGUUGAACAAAGGAGGUUCAGUUACUUUGACAGCCAGGAUGUUGGCUUGGAAGCAGCCAUUCAUUUAAAGAGUGCGUAACAGCUCACUGGUCGAGUGACAGGGCAUCGAUAAUAAUCGGGCAUCAAGCAUAUUACCGAAGCUAUGGAUAGAAUUUAUUCUGUGGUAGGGGAGCAUUCUUAUUACGAAGAAGGUGUCUGGUAAUGGAUGCUGGAGUGAUAAGAAAAGCAAAUGUAGGCAUAAGUAACGAUAAGGCAGGUGAGAAACCUGCCCGCCGCAAGACUAAGGUUUCCUGAACAACGCUAAUCGGUUCAGGGUUAGUCGGGUCCUAAGGCAACACCGAAAGGUUAAGUCGAUGGCUAACGGGUUAAUAAUCCCGUACUUGUUUUAUCUAGUGAUGUGGUGACGGAGGAGUGAAAGACCUGCGUACUGACGGAAUAGUACGUUGAAGCCCGUAGUUAUAUUUCUGGUAGGCAAAUCCGCCGGAGAUGAUGAAAGGUGAUAGUACCCAGCGGCUUCGGCCAACGGGAUAAUGGUCCUAAUCCGACUUCCAAGAAAACCCGCUAAACGUUUAAAGAUAAGACAACCCGUACCGCAAACCGACACAGGUAGUCGAGGAGAGCAUCCUCAGGCGCUCGAGUGAAUCACGGCCAAGGAACUCGGCAAAAUGGCCCUGUAACUUCGGGAGAAGGGGCGCUUCCUCUUAGCAAUAAGAGAAGCCGCAGUGAAAAGGCCCAGGCGACUGUUUAACAAAAACACAUGACUUUGCGAAAUCGAAAGAUGAAGUAUAAGGUCUGACACCUGCCCGGUGCUGGAAGGUUAAGAGGGGAUGUUAGUCGCAAGGCGAAGCAUUGAAUCGAAGCCCCAGUAAACGGCGGCCGUAACUAUAACGGUCCUAAGGUAGCGAAAUUCCUUGUCGGGUAAGUUCCGACCUGCACGAAUGGUGUAACGAUCUGGGCGCUGUCUCAGCCGUGAGCUCGGUGAAAUUGUAGUCUCGGUGAAGAUGCCGAGUACCCGCAACGGGACGGAAAGACCCCGUGCACCUUUACUAUAGCUUAACAUUGACGCUGGGUAACUCAUGUGUAGGAUAGGCCGGAGGCUAUGAAGCGGUGUCGCUAGGCAUCGUGGAGCCAACGUUGAAAUACGGCCCUUGAGUUGCUUGGCGCCUAAUCUGGAAAACGGAGACAGUGUUUGGUGGGUAGUUUGACUGGGGUGGUCGCCUCCAAAAGAGUAACGGAGGCUUUCAAAGGUACCCUCAGCACGCUUGGUAACCGUGCGUAGAGUGCAAUAGCAGAAGGGUGCUUGACUGUGAGGCCGACAAGCCGAGCAGGGUCGAAAGACGGAUAUAGUGAUCCGGUGGUUCCGCAUGGAAGGGCCAUCGCUCAAAGGAUAAAAGGUACGCCGGGGAUAACAGGCUGAUCUCCCCCAAGAGCUCAUAUCGACGGGGAGGUUUGGCACCUCGAUGUCGGCUCGUCACGUCCUGGGGCUGGAGAAGGUCCCAAGGGUUCGGCUGUUCGCCGAUUAAAGUGGCACGCGAGCUGGGUUCAGAACGUCGUGAGACAGUUCGGUCCCUAUCUGUUGUGGGCGUAAGAAAUUUGACAGGACCUGACCUUAGUACGAGAGGACCGGGUUGGACAAGCCGCUAGUGGACCUGUUGUGACGCCAGUUGCAGCGCAGGGUAGCUACGCUUGGAAGAGAUAAGCGCUGAAAGCAUCUAAGUGCGAAACUCACCUGAAGAUGAGAUUUCUUUGAAGGGUCGUUAAAGAUGAUAACGUUGAUAGGCGGCAGGUGUAAAGGUAGAAAUACCAUAGCUGAGCCGUACUAAUUACCCGUAAACUUUCCUGAUAACCUUAG
rnacentral:rRNA from 1 species